GGAACACCAGGGGAGCUGACGCAAUGAUUUAUUUUUAUUAAUCGGUUAUUGACCGUACAAAUAACAAUAUGCUGCUACAGCGACAGUAUGUAGUCGUAGCUUUGACUUUUGUAACUUUUGGUGGUAUUUGCCAGUCGUGUAGCAUAACUGCUGAUUAUGAUUGGCACUCUACGGCUGAGCUGACCAGACUGGCGCCUCUUGUGUUGUAUGGCAAAGUUGUAGCCACGAGCAACCGAACGAUACAUAAACACGAAUACAACGCAACAUUGAAUGUUACUCGUGUUUACAAAGGCGAAUUGAAGCUAUUGAACCGUUCUCAAAUCGAGGUUGCGGGGUUUUCCUAUCCAGCAGCGUGUAGAUCAGAAGUUUUCGUUGGAGACGAAUACAUAUUCUUCCUGAAUGUUGAGCCUUUUAGAGCUCGCUAUGAUGACAUCUCGUCGGCCAUAAUGAAAUACUCAAACGCGUCAUUUCAGGAAAUACUAGAAGGGCUAUGUUGUCCUCAAACCAAAGAUUGUCCACGACAAAAUUUCACCUGUAGCCGUGGCUCUGUUUUGGCUCAGACAACAACUUGGCUUUUUCUCUUGAUGUUUUGGGUAUUAUUGGUUGGAUGACGUAGCUAACAGCUUCAUUCUUCGCGACAGCCAGAUUUGGCAGAAACCUUAGCAGA